UACGUAGGGGGCAAGCGUUGUCCGGAAUCAUUGGGCGUAAAGAGCGUGUAGGCGGCUUGGUAGGUCUUGCGUCAAAACCUGAGGCUCAACCUCAGUUCGCGUGGGAAACCAUCUAGCUAGAGUCCGGAAGAGGAGAACGGAAUUCCCAGUGUAGCGGUGAAAUGCGCAGAUAUUGGGAAGAACACCAGUGGCGAAGGCGGUUCUCUGGGACGGUACUGACGCUGAGACGCGAAAAGCGUGGGGGAGCGAACAGG
rnacentral:rRNA from 1 species